rnacentral:rRNA from 1 species
CUACGGGGUGCUGCAGUGAGGAAUAUUGCACAAUGGGGGGAACCCUGAUGCAGCAACGCCGCGUGGAGGAUGACGCAUUUCGGUGUGUAAACUCCUUUUAUAUGUCAAGAAAAUGACGGUAUCAUAUGAAUAAGCACCGGCUAACUCCGUGCCAGCAGCCGCGGUAAUACGGAGGGUGCAAGCGUUACUCGGAAUCACUGGGCGUAAAGGACGCGUAGGCGGGUUGGAAAGUCAGGUGUGAAAUCCUACAGCUUAACUGUAGAACUGCACUUGAAACUUCUAAUCUAGAGUAUGGUAGGGGGAGAUGGAAUUAGUGGUGUAGGGGUAAAAUCCGUAGAUAUCACUAGGAAUACCUAAAGCGAAGGCGAUCUCCUGGAACAUUACUGACGCUAAGGCGUGAAAGCGUGGGGAGCAAACAGGAUUAGAUACCCUCGUAGUC